rnacentral:tmRNA from 2 species
GGGAGCGACUUGGCUUCGACAGGAGUAAGUCUGCUUAGAUGGCAUGUCGCUUUGGGCAAAGCGUAAAAAGCCCAAAUAAAAUUAAACGCAAACAACGUUAAAUUCGCUCCUGCUUACGCUAAAGCUGCGUAAGUUCAGUUGAGCCUGAAAUUUAAGUCAUACUAUCUAGCUUAAUUUUCGGUCAUUUUUGAUAGUAUAGCCUUGCGUUUGACAAGCGUUGAGGUGAAAUAAAGUCUUAGCCUUGCUUUUGAGUUUUGGAAGAUGAGCGAAGUAGGGUGAAGUAGUCAUCUUUGCUAAGCAUGUAGAGGUCUUUGUGGGAUUAUUUUUGGACAGGGGUUCGAUUCCCCUCGCUUCCACCA